rnacentral:lncRNA from 1 species
CCAAAGUAGCAUUCAAGGCUCAAAGUCACAAAAAUAGGUUUCAUUAAAGAGGUAAAUAUACACUUAUACCCCUUGGGUUAAUUAAUCCAAACCUUAGGGUUUAGAGUUAAGGGGGUGGGGUUUUGGAAUUAGGGUUUAAAAUUUUAUAAAAAAUAAAUACUAAAAUAAAAAUAAAAAUUUUAAAAACAGUUUCAAAAAGUAUUUUUAAAUUAUAAAAAGA